CCUACGGGAGGCAGCAGUCGGGAAUAUUGGACAAUGGGGGAAACCCUGAUCCAGCCAUGCCGCGUGUGUGAAGAAGGCCUUCGGGUUGUAAAGCACUUUCAGUAGUGAGGAAGGGACCUGGGCGAAUACCCCGGGUUCUUGACGUUAGCUACAGAAGCAGCACCGGCUAACUCCGUGCCAGCAGCCGCGGUAAUACGGAGGGUGCGAGCGUUAAUCGGAAUUACUGGGCGUAAAGCGCGCGUAGGCGGUUUGGUAAGUCGGAUGUGAAAGCCCAGGGCUUAACCUUGGAACUGCAUUCGAUACUGCCUGACUAGAGUAUGGUAGAGGGGGGUAGAAUUCCACGUGUAGCGGUGAAAUGCGUAGAGAUGUGGAGGAAUACCGGUGGCGAAGGCGGCCCCCUGGACCAAUACUGACGCUGAGGUGCGAAGGUGUGGGGAGCGAACAGGAUUAGAUACCCUGGUAGUCCACGCGGUAAACGGUGUCAACUAGCCGUUGGGAAUCUCGUUAUUCUUAGUGGCGCAGCUAACGCGAUAAGUUGACCGCCUGGGGAGUACGGUCGCAAGAUUAAAACUCAAAUGAAUUGACGG
rnacentral:rRNA from 1 species